GGCUCAAUGGUCUAGAGGCAUGAUUCUUGCUUUGGGUGCAAGAGGUCCCGGGUUCAAUCCCCGGUUGAGCCC
rnacentral:tRNA from 4 species